rnacentral:lncRNA from 1 species
UUUGAUGGGCCUUCUAUCCAACUUUAGGCCCACUAGUCUCCAGUUUUCCUUUUCUUUUAGAGAUAUAAUUGAUGUGUAUAGCAAGGUAUAUGUAAUUAUGUAUAUGUACAACACCGCCUAGAAAACCGCCUAGAAACGCCUAGGCUCGCCUAAGCUCUAGGCGAUGGGUCACCGCCUAGAGACCGCCUAGCGCCUUGUCAAACACUUGUUCAGAUUUGGUUGUAGUAUCAGUUCAUACAGAAUAUAAAAUAUGUUAGAAUGAUUUGGCCCAAAAAUUUCAGAUAAUCCCUCCAUCUGAUUUUUGGAUCAUGCUUAUCUGGGCAUCAACUAUGAAAAUCAGCUGUUGUGACAGAGAACAAGCAAAUGGCAAAAAAAAAA